GACUCUGACAGUCAGUAACUGAGAAGAGACAUAAAGAAGACUGAAGCAUGAUGGUUGAAUCAAGAUGGAUUAAAAUGUCUUUAUUUCUGAUGCUGCUGCUUCACUUUACAGCAGUGGCUGAACAACUCUACCCCCGUAUUGUUGUCAGAGUUGGAGAUGAAGUACACUUUGCCUUGUGACAAUGUGAGAGAUUAAUCAGGACAAAUGUCAGCGUACUUCGUGGCCUCUUGUUGGUUCAGGAAACACAAAGGUCAAUAUAUCUGAUUGAACGUAGACAGAUUUUUGAAAACGCCGAAACUAAAUCAGACAGACUGAGUGUUGCAGCGAACUGUUCUCUGGUUAUAAAGAAGGUCACAGUCGAGGAUGUUGGUCAAUAUACCUGCAGACAGUUUAUAUCAGGACAACAAAAAGGUCCAGACUCUCAGGUUCAUCUGUUUGUCAUUACCACUCGUACAGAUUGGUCUGUUCUGAACUACAUAAUGUUGGUUAUGCGUGUGGCUGAACUCCUCCUAAUUACGGUGAUUACUGUUCUUCUCAUCAGAGCUCGAGGGAACCAGAGACCACCUGAUGACAGCACUGUUUUAAACUCAGAAGGAAGCCGAGCAGUGAGGCGUUCAGGUCCAGCAGCCAGUCAGGUAAAGAUCAGAUCAGACAGUAACUGGAGAAAAAUCUGGC
rnacentral:lncRNA from 15 species